rnacentral:misc_RNA from 1 species
GCAAACUUGGUCAUUUAGAGGAAGUAAAAGUCGUAACAAGGUUUCCGUAGGUGAACCUGCGGAAGGAUCAUUACAGUAUUGUUUUUGCCAGCGCUUAAUUGCGCGGCGAAAAAAACCUUACACACAGUGAUUUUUCUUUUACUAGAACUAUUGCUUUGGCUUGGCCGAAAGGUUGGGCCAGAGGUUAUCACUAAACUUCAAUAUUAUUAUUGAAUUGUUAAUUAAAUAUUUAUUUGUCAAUUUGUUUGAUUUUAUUCAAAAAAAAUUAAAACUUUCAACAACGGAUCUCUUGGUUCUCGCAUCGAUGAAGAACGCAGC